rfam:Dipodomys ordii contig_64564, whole genome shotgun sequence.
CUCGCUUGAUGACAGGAAGGACUGAAAUGUCCGCGGACCCCUGGUCCUUCCUCGAUGUUCUUGCGGC